rnacentral:telomerase_RNA from 1 species
GCGGUUUUUGAUGAUGUAUUUUGUCCGCGUACCAGUGCCCUCUGGCUCAUCACAGACUGGAGAGGAAUCAAAAACUUGUC